CGCCUUGCCAGCCCGCUCAGAAACUCAAAGGAAUUGACGGGGGCCCGCACAAGCGGUGGAGCAUGUGGUUUAAUUCGAUGAUACGCGAGGAACCUUACCUGGGCUCAAAUGUAUGUUGACGUAUUCUGAAAGGGAUACUUCUUCGGACAAUAUACAAGGUGCUGCAUGGUUGUCGUCAGCUCGUGCCGUGAGGUGUCGGGUUAAGUCCCAUAACGAGCGCAACCCCUAUCAUUAGUUGCCAUCAGGUCAAGCUGGGGACUCUAAUGAAACUGCCUACGCAAGUAGUGAGGAAGGUGGGGAUGACGUCAAAUCAGCACGGCCCUUACGUCCAGGGCUACACACGUGUUACAAUGGCCAGUACAGAGGGCAGCCACCCCGCGAGGGGGCGCUAAUCCUAAAAGCUGGUCCCAGUUCGGAUCGGAGUCUGCAACCCGACUCCGUGAAGCUGGAUUCGCUAGUAAUCGCGCAUCAGCCACGGCGCGGUGAAUACGUUCCCGGGCCUU
rnacentral:rRNA from 1 species